rnacentral:lncRNA from 1 species
CCGGGGCCGAGGCUGGCGGGGGGCGGCGCUGCCAACACUCAAGCGCAGCUGAUCCCGUUUCAAAACCUGACGGUGACCUAUGAGCAGCUGCCUCAAAACCCGGGGAAAUGAGAAAACAAAGCAGAGCUGUAGCUCUUCUCUAAGCAGGGGAAGGAAGAGACUCAGACUUUUUCCAAAGAACCCAGAAGACUUCAGAAGACUGAAGGAGCAUUCCUGAUGUCCCCUGGAUACAGCCAUAAUCUUCCUUCAAGAGAAAUACAAAA